rnacentral:rRNA from 1 species
CUCCUACGGGAGGCAGCAGUGAGGAAUAUUGGUCAAUGGACGAGAGUCUGAACCAGCCAAGUAGCGUGCAGGAAGACGGCCCUAUGGGUUGUAAACUGCUUUUAUAAGGGAAUAAAGUGAGAGUCGUGACUCUUUUUGCAUGUACCUUAUGAAUAAGGACCGGCUAAUUCCGUGCCAGCAGCCGCGGUAAUACGGAAGGUCCGGGCGUUAUCCGGAUUUAUUGGGUUUAAAGGGAGCGUAGGCCGGAGAUUAAGCGUGUUGUGAAAUGUAGACGCUCAACGUCUGCACUGCAGCGCGAACUGGUUUCCUUGAGUACGCACAAAGUGGGCGGAAUUCGUGGUGUAGCGGUGAAAUGCUUAGAUAUCACGAAGAACUCCGAUUGCGAAGGCAGCUCACUGGAGCGCAACUGACGCUGAAGCUCGAAAGUGCGGGUAUCGAACAGGAUUAGAUACCCUGGUAGUCCGCACGGUAAACGAUGGAUGCCCGCUGUUGGUCUGAAUAGGUCAGCGGCCAAGCGAAAGCAUUAAGCAUCCCACCUGGGGAGUACGCCGGCAACGGUGAAACUCAAAGGAAUUGACGGGGGCCCGCACAAGCGGAGGAACAUGUGGUUUAAUUCGAUGAUACGCGAGGAACCUUACCCGGGCUUGAAUUGCAGAGGAAGGAUUUGGAGACAAUGACGCCCUUCGGGGCCUCUGUGAAGGUGCUGCAUGGUUGUCGUCAGCUCGUGCCGUGAGGUGUCGGCUUAAGUGCCAUAACGAGCGCAACCCCUCUCCUUAGUUGCCAUCAGGUCAUGCUGGGCACUCUGGGGACACUGCCACCGUAAGGUGUGAGGAAGGUGGGGAUGACGUCAAAUCAGCACGGCCCUUACGUCCGGGGCUACACACGUGUUACAAUGGCAGGUACAGAGAGACGGUCCCUUGCAAAAUGGAUCAAAUCCUUAAAGCCUGUCUCAGUUCGGACUGGGGUCUGCAACCCGACCCCACGAAGCUGGAUUCGCUAGUAAUCGCGCAUCAGCCAUGGCGCGGUGAAUACGUUCCCGGGCCUUGUACACACCGC